UAACACGUUAAGUCGGUACCGUAAACCUGCCCCUGUCAGGGGGACAACCCGCCGAAAGGCGGGCUAAACCCGCGUACAUGCCACCGGGGCAUCCCGGAGGCAGGAAAGGCUUCGGCCGGACAGGGAUGGGCAUGCGGCGCAUUAGGCAGUAGGCGGGGUAACGGCCCACCUAACCGACGAUGCGUAGGGGUUCUGAGAGGAAGGUCCCCCACACUGGUACUGAGACACGGACCAGACUCCUACGGGAGGCAGCAG
rnacentral:rRNA from 1 species